AUAUGAUGGGUAGUUUUACUAGAUUAAUGCCUUAUGGUAGUUAUUUGUGAAAGAAUUUGUUGAAAGCAUGCUAAACUUGACAUGUUUGUUGUGAGCCAAAUUUACCCAUUCUAUUUUAGGAUUUUAUAGUGAUGUUUUGUGAUGUUUGUGGGCUGAAAUUGUUGGUAGAAAACUGGUAGAGAUGAUGGGGAGAGUUAACCUAGGGUUAAAUGUGAGAAUGGUAGUGAUGUGAGUGGAAAAGUGUGAGGUUUUGAGGGUUUGAAAAGCUAAAUUUGGGGUUAGUGGUAAUUGGGGGCUAAAGUGAGUUAAUCCUAGUUUAAAAUGUUAUUUAGGACUUGUGGGAAAGCUUGGGCUGAGCAAAUGAGAAAAAUGAGUGACAAAGGUGAAAGCAAGAGCCAUUUAUAGGGUAAAUUGGGUGUUGAGGGGUCAAAUUUUGAAUCGGUGGAGUUUUCGUCGUAAAACCAGUUUGAACAAGUUUAAAUUAAUGUUAUAGACCUGUUUGAGAUGAGAGUUUACUCCAAAAUUACCUCAUUCUCAUUUUCACUUCUCAAACCUUGAAAAUCCACUAAAUUGAGGGGUUUUAGAUACCUAGAUUUUGAAUUGCCUUGACCUGGAGUUUGUUUUUGGUUUAAAUACGUUUUAUAUAUCAUUUAGGACUUGUAGGAUCCAAUUUGAGCAAAAUUGGAUGAGGGCAAGAGGGAUUUCGAAAAUAUGCCCUAUUAUGCAGAAAAUUGCUGUUGAAUUGUGCAGCAGAAUUUUUGUUCUUGU
rnacentral:lncRNA from 1 species